UACGAAGGGGGCUAGCGUUGCUCGGAAUUACUGGGCGUAAAGGGCGCGUAGGCGGCACUGUUAGUCAGGCGUGAAAGUCCUGGGCUCAACCUGGGAACUGCGCUUGAUACGGCAGAGCUAGAGGAUGGAAGAGGGUCACGGAAUUCCCAGUGUAGAGGUGAAAUUCGUAGAUAUUGGGAAGAACACCGGUGGCGAAGGCGGCGACCUGGUCCAUUACUGACGCUGAGGCGCGACAGCGUGGGGAGCAAACAGG
rnacentral:rRNA from 1 species